UCACCCGAGUUCAACCAUCUGACUCGGGCAUUGACUCAUUCAUCAGUCAUCGGACUCGACGCCGAAUGGAAGCCAAUUCGAACCCAUCAGUCUACUUUCCCCACCGUCUCGCUUCUCCAAAUCGCUUGUCAGCUCCCCGGCGACGACGACGACGACUCGUCGGUGGAAUCGCCCGUCUUCUUAAUUGACCUAGCGUCGAUCCCUUUACAAUCAAUUUACCAGCUUAUCAGGGAUGCAUUUGUCUCGCCGAAUAUACUGAAAUUGGGAUUCAGAUUCAAACAGGAUUUAGUGUAUUUAUCUUCUACUUUCUGCGCUCAUGACUGUGAACCUGGUUUUGAUAGGGUUAGUUUUGUUUUUUGUCUUCUGAAGAAAUG
rnacentral:misc_RNA from 1 species